rnacentral:rRNA from 1 species
UACGUAGGGUGCAAGCGUUAAUCGGAAUUACUGGGCGUAAAGCGUGCGCAGGCGGUUUUGUAAGACUGACGUGAAAUCCCCGGGCUCAACCUGGGAAUGGCGUUGGUGACUGCAAGGCUAGAGUUUGGCAGAGGGGGGGUAGAAUUCCACGUGUAGCAGUGAAAUGCGUAGAUAUGUGGAGGAACACCGAUGGCGAAGGCAGCCCCCCUGGGUCAAAAACUGACGCUCAUGCACGAAAGCGUGGGGGAGCAAACAGG